UACGUAGGGGGCAAGCGUUAUCCGGAUUUACUGGGUGUAAAGGGAGCGUAGACGGUUAUGCAAGUCAGAAGUGAAAGCCCAAAGCUCAACUUCGGGACUGCUUUUGAAACUGUGUAACUAGAGUGCAGGAGGGGUAAGCGGAAUUCCUAGUGUAGCGGUGAAAUGCGUAGAUAUUAGGAGGAACACCGGCGGCGAAGGCGGCCUGCUGGACCGAAACUGACGUUGAGGCUCGAAAGCGUGGGGAGCAAACAGG
rnacentral:rRNA from 1 species